rnacentral:lncRNA from 1 species
AGUUGAAGACAGUGUCAACACCAUGGGGUUAUUGUAUGAGAUUAGAGGCAAAUCAUAGUCAGUAACCACCUGGUUCCAUUUGAUCAUCCAGUCGUAGUUACCAAAGACUCUAUCUAGCCUGUUGCAUACUCUGUCCACACCAGUUUGUUUGUUUGUCCAUGUGUAGUAUUCCCCCCUCCAAGGCAAUUCAGUCAGUCCA